UAGGGAAUCUUCGGCAAUGGACGAAAGUCUGACCGAGCAACGCCGCGUGAGUGAAGAAGGUUUUCGGAUCGUAAAACUCUGUUGUUAGAGAAGAACAAGGACGUUAGUAACUGAACGUCCCCUGACGGUAUCUAACCAGAAAGCCACGGCUAACUACGUGCCAGCAGCCGCGGUAAUACGUAGGUGGCAAGCGUUGUCCGGAUUUAUUGGGCGUAAAGCGAGCGCAGGCGGUUUCUUAAGUCUGAUGUGAAAGCCCCCGGCUCAACCGGGGAGGGUCAUUGGAAGCUGGGAGACUAGAGUGCAGAAGAGGAGAGUGGAAUUCCAUGUGUAGCGGUGAAAUGCGUAGAUAUAUGGAGGAACACCAGUGGCGAAGGCGGCUCUCUGGUCUGUAACAGACGCUGAGGCUCGAAAGCGUGGGGAGCAAACAGG
rnacentral:rRNA from 1 species